rnacentral:rRNA from 1 species
AACGAACGCUGGCGGCAGGCUUAACACAUGCAAGUCGAGCGCCUCGCAAGAGGAGCGGCAGACGGGUGAGUAACGCGUGGGAACGUACCCUUAUCUUCGGAAUAGCUCUGGGAAACUGGAAGUAAUACCGAAUGUGCCCUUAGGGGGAAAGAUUUAUCGGAUAAGGAUCGGCCCGCGUUGGAUUAGCUAGUUGGUGGGGUAAAGGCCUACCAAGGCGACGAUCCAUAGCUGGUCUGAGAGGAUGAUCAGCCACAUUGGGACUGAGACACGGCCCAAACUCCUACGGGAGGCAGCAGUGGGGAAUAUUGGACAAUGGGCGCAAGCCUGAUCCAGCCAUGCCGCGUGAGAGAUGAAGGCCUUAGGGUUGUAAAGCUCUUUCACCGGAGAAGAUAAUGACGGUAUCCGGAGAAGAAGCCCCGGCUAACUUCGUG